rnacentral:rRNA from 1 species
AGAAUCAACGCUGGCGGCGUGCCUAACACAUGCAAGUCGCACGAGAAAGUGGAGCAAUCCACGAGUAAAGUGGCGCACGGGUGAGUAACACGUGAAUAAUCUACCUCCGAGUGGGGAAUAACUGAGAGAAAUCUUAGCCAAUACCGCAUAAUACCCACGGGUCAAAGCAGCAAUGCGCUUGGAGAGGAGUUCGCGGCCGAUUAGCUAGUUGGCGGGGUAAUGGCCCACCAAGGCGAUGAUCGGUA